GACGAACGCUGGCGGCGUGCUUAACACAUGCAAGUCGAACGGAAAGGCCCUGCUUGCGGGGUACUCGAGUGGCGAACGGGUGAGUAACACGUGGGUGAUCUGCCCUGCACUUCGGGAUAAGCCUGGGAAACUGGGUCUAAUACCGGAUAGGAGCCAUUUUUAGUGUGGUGGUUGGAAAGUUUUUUCGGUGUAGGAUGAGCUCGCGGCCUAUCAGCUUGUUGGUGGGGUAAUGGCCUACCAAGGCGGCGUCGGGUAGCCGGCCUGAGAGGGUGGACGGCCACAUUGGGACUGAGAUACGGCCCAGACUCCUACGGGAGGCAGCAGUGGGGAAUAUUGCACAAUGGGCGCAAGCCUGAUGCAGCGACGCCGCGUGGGGGAUGACGGCCUUCGGGUUGUAAACUCCUUUCGCUAGGGACGAAGCUUUUUGUGACGGUACCUAGAGAAGAAGCACCGGCUAACUACGUG
rnacentral:rRNA from 1 species